GGAGAAGAGGUGGAACAAGUAAACAGUUUCCUGUCUAGGGCGGCCAUCACAACGAAGUACAUGUCUAAAGCAGGGCGAACAGACAUGCUGAGCCUCCUGGCUUUGGGCUGGAACAAAAGGAAAGUGGAACAACUGGGCCGCACUUUGAGCCAGAGAUAUCUAAAGAUCAUAAGGAUCCUUAGAGAACAAGUGGAGAGCCUGAAUGCGAGCAGAAAUGAGCUGGGUGUGGAUGACGACACACUGCAGCAAUGGGCUGAAGGUGAGUCUCAAUAUAAUGCACUCGUGUAUAACAACAGGACCCACCAUGGCCUCAUUAAAGAACUUAGAGUUAAGAUCUUUCUGACAGUGUCAACAAACAAUGAAAAAUAAGCUUGUAAAAGCAGAAUUGAUGGCCGAGUUGUUGCGUUUGA